GAACGCUGGCGGCAUGCCUUACACAUGCAAGUCGAACGGCAGCACGGGAGCAAUCCUGGUGGCGAGUGGGCGAACGGGUGAGUAAUAUAUCGGAACGUGCCCGGUCGUGGGGGAUAACGUAGCGAAAGCUACGCUAAUACCGCAUACGAUCUACGGGAUGAAAGCGGGGGAUCGCAAGACCUCGCGCGAUUGGAGCGGCCGAUAUCAGAUUAGGUAGUUGGUGAGGUAAAGGCUCACCAAGCCGACGACCUGUAGCUGGUCUGAGAGGACGACCAGCCACACUGGGACUGAGACACGGCCCAGACUCCUACGGGAGGCAGCAGUGGGGAAUUUUGGACAAUGGGCGCAAGCCUGAUCCAGCAAUGCCGCGUGCAGGAUGAAGGCCUUCGGGUUGUAAACUGCUUUGUACGGAACGAAACGGUGAGCUCUAAUACAGUUUGCUAAUGACGGUACCGUAAGAAUAAGCACCGGCUAACUACGUG
rnacentral:rRNA from 1 species